UGAGCUGUGCAGUUUGUGCUGCCAGCAAGCGUGCAAAGAAGAGGAGGGGGAGCGAGCGCGUAAAGGAGGAGGAGGAGCGAAGAGAGAGAGUGCAAACAAUGUCAUUCUGUUCAGGAGGCAAUGCUGCAGUCAACUUUGCAGCGCCAUGAAGGCACAUCACCAGCGACCAGGAGGCGCAGAGUGAGUGCAGAGAAGUUUUCCUCCUCUCCGCCCCGAGUGUGCGAUGCCAUCCGAGACUCACCUGAGCAGGAUAACACACCCGGUCCAGCUGUUGGUGGCGUGUUGGAACAUGCCUUGACUUGUUGCACUGCCUGGGUGAAGCACAGGGGCCACAGUCCCAGGAAGAGAGGGAAGCGGCUCCUGGUCAACAGUGUGCCAGGGUGGAGUGACCCACACCGAGACCUGCUGCACCUGUGGACAGAGCGUGGAUGGAGGAGCUGCUUAGAGCUUCAAGCUGUUGGCGUAAGACCCCGUGCCCCCCCCCCCCCC